rnacentral:rRNA from 1 species
CCUACGGGAGGCAGCAGUGAGGAAUAUUGGUCAAUGGACGAGAGUCUGAACCAGCCAAAUAGCGUGAAGGAUGACUGCCCUAUGGGUUGUAAACUUCGUUUAUAUGGGAAUAAAAUGUUACAAGUGUGGGAUUUUGUAUGUACCAUAUGAAUAAGGAUCGGGUAACUCCGUGCCAGGCGCCGAGGUAAUACGGUGGAUCCGAGGGUUAUCUUGGUUUAUUGGGGUUAAAGGGAGUGUAGGUGGGUUGUUUAGUCAGUUGUGAAAGUUUGCGGCUUAACCGUAAAAUUGCAUUUGAAACUGGCAGUCUUGAGUACAGUAGAGGUGGGCGGAAUUCGUGGUGAAGCGGUGAAAUGCUUAGAUAUCUCGAAGAACUCCGAUUGCGAAGGCAGUUCACUGGACUGCAACUGACACUGAGGCUCGAAAGUGUGGGUAUCAAACAGGAUUAGAUACCCGGGUAGUC